rnacentral:rRNA from 1 species
CAGAGGUCUCAAGCGUUGUUCGGAUUCAUUGGGCGUAAAGGGUGCGUAGGUGGCGCCGUAAGUCAGGUGUGAAAUCUCGGGGCUCAACCCCGAAACUGCACUUGAUACUGCGGUGCUCGAGUACUGGAGAGGAGAUUGGAAUUUACGGUGUAGCAGUGAAAUGCGUAGAUAUCGUAAGGAAGACCAGUGGCGAAGGCGAAUCUCUGGACAGUUACUGACACUGAGGCACGAAGGCCAGGGGAGCAAACGGGAUUAGAUACCCCGGUAGUCCUGGCAGUAAACGGUGCACGUUUGGUGUGGGAGGAUUCGACCCCUUCCGUGCCGGAGCUAACGCGUUAAACGUGCCGCCUGGGGAGUACGGUCGCAAGAUUA